ACAUUCCGCCUGGGGAGUACGGUCGCAAGAUUAAAACUCAAAGGAAUAGACGGGGACCCGCACAAGUGGUGGAGCAUGUGGUUUAAUUCGAAGAUACGCGAAGAACCUUACCUGGCCUUGACAUUGAUAGAAUCUUCCAGAGAUGGAGGAGUGCCCUUUUAGGGAGCUUGAAAACAGGUGCUGCACGGCUGUCGUCAGCUCGUGUCGUGAGAUGUUGGGUUAAGUCCCGCAACGAGCGCAACCCUCGUCACUAGUUACUAACGGUUCGGCCGAGGACUCUAGUGAGACUGCCUUCGCAAGGAGGAGGAAGGUGAGGACGACGUCAAGUCAUCAUGGCCCUUACGGCCAGGGCAACACACGUGCUACAAUGGGGUGUACAGUGAGAAGCGAUACCGCGAGGUGGAGCAAAUCUAUAAAGCAUCUCUCAGUUCGGAUUGUAGUCUGCAACUCGACUACAUGAAGCUGGAAUCACUAGUAAUCGUAGAUCAGCUAUGCUACGGUGAAUACGUUCCCGGGUCUUGUACUCACCGCCCGUCACACCAUGGGAGUUGAUUUCACCCGAAGCGGGGAAGCUAAACUGGCUACCCUCCACGGUGGGAUCAGCGACUGGGGUGAAGUCGUAACAAGGUA
rnacentral:rRNA from 1 species